GCAUGCAGUCGAGCGAGAACCAUUUCUUCGGAUUUGGGGAAAGCGGCGAACGGCGUAGUAAUGCGUAGGAACGUACCCCUCGGUCGGGAAUAACCACGGGAAACUGUGGAUAAUGCCCGAUGAUCUCUGCGGAGCAAAGGUGAGAUUCCGCCGGGGGAGCGGCUUACGUGAUAUUAGCUUGAUGGUGAGGUAAUGGCUCACCAUGGCGAUGAUGUCUAGGGGGUGUGAGAGCAUGGCCCCCACGACCGGAACUGAGACACUGUCCGGACACCUACGGGUGGCUGCAGUCGAGAAUCUUCGGCAAUGCGCGAAAGCGUGACCGAGCGAUGCCGCGUGGUGGAUGAAGGCCCUUGGGUUGUAAACACCUGUCAGAGGGGAUGAAAUCCCGGAAGGUUAUCCUCCCGGGUUGACAGAGCCUCAAAGGAAGCACGGGCUAAGUACGUGCCAGCAGCCGCGGUAACACGUACUGUGCGAACGUUAUUCGGAAUCACUGGGCUUAAAGGGUGCGUAGGCGGCGAAUCAAGUCAGGUGUGAAAGGCCUGAGCUCAACUGAGGCAUUGCGCUUGAAACUGAUUCGCUUGAGUAUUUCAGGGGUGUGCGGAACUGCCAGUGGAGCGGUGAAAUGUGUUGAUAUUGGCAGGAACACCGGAGGCGAAAGCGGCACACUGGGGAAUAACUGACGCUGAGGCACGAAAGCCAGGGUAGCGAACGGGAUUAGAUACCCCGGUAGUCCUGGCUGUAAACGAUGAGCACUGGGCGGGAGGAAGGUUACUUCUUCCUGCCGCAGCGAAAGCG
rnacentral:rRNA from 1 species